GAAUCCAAUUUGUAGUGCUCCAAAACAUCAAUUUGCUUCUAUAUAAGUACUGCCAAAAGAGAUCGUUGCAACCCACAGAAAUUCAGAAGAACAACAUAACAUAGAGAAGGAAAAAAAGGACCUCAUGGAAAUAUUCAAGAAGAACACAAGUGCCCAGUGCUUGUUGGCUCUUGUGCUCAUGGCUACUAUCAUUUCGUCUUGUGGAGCGUUUGGCCCAGGUACAUGCAUCUGUGACCUAACUAUAAGUCACUGUGUUUUGCUAUGCAAUGCUAAUUUUCUAUGUAUUUCACAAUAUUGAGUUGUAUGGAUCUUACUGCAUCUGGUCGAUGGUGAAGCAUAGCUUUGCCAUGUUGUUGUCUGGGUAUUCUUCUAAACAAUAUUGUUUUUGUCAACAUGCAGAAGGAGGGUGGUGCUUCAUGCCUUUCGUGAGAUGCGAUCUGGACUUGUGCAAGCGUAGCUGCAAAGGUCUAUUUCCCUAUUGUGAACAGAUACAUGGAGUUUCUUCCCAAUGUUGUUGCUCUCCCAAGAAACUUAGUGCAUCUAUUGAUAAGAAUAGUCGUCCUUGAGAUGAAUUCCUAAAUAGUAAUUUAUAUGUCACUGGUCUUUGAUGGAUCCAAUUCCGGCUGAUUGAAUAAAAUUUAUGACCAUUAUUGAAGAAAUACCACUACAGAGAUACCACUACAGAGAUGUGAAACCGGGAUGCUUCAUUUGGAUGUUCCUUUCAGACC
rnacentral:lncRNA from 1 species